AUUUGACCUCUAGCCCAGGAACUUCCAUAUGCACCAAGUGUUAUUCCUUUAAAAAGAAAAAAAAAAAAAAAGAGAGAGAGAGAGACUCGAAAAAGCAUUUUUUGAAUGCUUGAAUGAAUCUGAAGACGAUGCAAAUGAUAUCAACCUGAUAAACUUUUAUGUCAGUUUUCUACUAUAAACAUGCAUUUGUUUACACUUCAAUAAAAAUAUGUUCUUUCCAAUAUCCAAAUUUUUUCCCCCUCAGAAGGUUUACUGGCUUCCCCCAUUUUCAACUGCUAAUGAUACUUCUAGUCUGUUUUCAUCCAGUGUUUAUUUGACAUUUCCUAGUUCAUGGAGGACGACGUCAACAAAGAGGGGUUUUCCAAGCAAAAAAAAAAGUCUCACAAAGAAAAAAAAAAUCUUGGUACAGCGAAGAAGAGAUAUGCUGCAGGAAAUCAUGUAAACAAAGUGAAAAAUAUCUAGGAAUUUUAGGCAAGUGGUCCCCCCCGGAAGGAGAGAGAAAUCAGAAUGCCCAAAGGAAUCCCUUGCUCCCCUUGCUCAGAUGACAUGUCUCUGUAAGGAGUCCAUCCCAUCUGCCUCCACUCAGAGGACAGUCAUUUGGCCACAUGGCUACUUUCCUGAGCAAUUGUCCAGAAAAUGUGUCCUGCGAUGUCUACAGGGUAGGUAUGAUUUCAGAAGAUGGAUCUGCCCCAUGAUUUCUUGCCUGGACUUGGCUGGGACUUCUUACCAUCUAUUUUAAUUUUUUUCAGUCUAGCAUCUUAUGAGUCUUGAAUAAUAAGAGCAUUUCAGAUGUCUCUAGUAGCUGAGAUCAAGACUUAGACAAAAGACUUCUAAGACUGAGAUAUAAAUAGCGAUGAGUUCAGGAUGACAUCAUGUUAUAUGCACACCAGAAGUGACCACAAAUAACCUACAAUAACCUUUAAAAUUAGUUUUUUCCUGACUUCAUAAAACAAUAUUUUAUUUGGCAGGCAUAUAUUGGCAAGCUCUUUCAAAAGCUCUAUUUGUUUUCUGUAUCCAGGAAGACACAACCAGUGUUUUCACAUAGGUUUCCUUCUCUGCUGUGGUUUUGCCAUUUUCUGCUUCUUUAUGAGUGGCUGCUGCAGAAUAUUUUUCUUUGAGACAUUUAUUAAGAGUAGCAAGGAUAUGAAUGAAAAACCAUCCUUAUAACAAUACAGGGUGGGUUUCUGCUUCUAUAUGUAAUGGUGACCAAAUCCAAAGGACAGAAGUCAAAUGUAUCAACAGUGAUACAGUUGCUUUGUUCUGAGGUUCUAUAAUAACAUGCAGCUGGAUAAAAAAUAUAUUGAAGUACAUUGAAGGGAAUCAGUCCAUGUGUCCUUCAAUGUGUUAAUUAAAGCCAAGAUUAGAAAGAGAAUAUUACAACAUAACAUAGCUUUUAAAAAGGUAUGACAUUAUCCAAGCCCAACUGAGAUAUAACAGAGAACAGGAAAACAGUUUCAAAGUUACCUCAUAGGUAUGCCAACUGUUCUAGUUUCUAAAAACAUUCCUAUUUUGAGAUAUUUUUCCUAAAUAUUUUUAAUAUAUAAAAUCCCUCUGAAUCUAAUUUUGCAUCACUCGAGUUUUGAAAUUAAUUCACAUCACACAGGUUUUUAAACUACUAUUUCCUAGAAGACAAAGAUGGGUAUGUGCAAAUCCUUUCAGAUAUAAUAAAAGCAAAAUUUACAUUUCCCAAAUAAACAGCAUUUGUAGAAUAAGUCACUAGAUUUCAUUUUCUUCUUUUGGUUCCUAUUAAUCUUUUCUCUCACACAGGCCAAAGAGGAAGGUUCCAAUAAUUAACCUUGUGCUGUUGACCUAACCAAAAUUAACUGGCUAUGCAACAAUUUAGUUGUCCAUAUGAAAACAGGAAGACAGAUUUCCCCAAGCAACCCUUAUUCACCAUGAGAAAAACAGCUGGUGCUCUGUCUUUCCGUAUAAGCCUGUGGGGCAUGGAUAAAAGGAUGUAUAUUUCUGAUAUCCUCUCUUGUAAAUGGGUGGUUUUUUUCAGUGGAAGUAUGCCAACAUUCAGUUCCUGAGAAGCAGGGGCCCAAAAAAGUCUGGUCAAAAUAUUUAGAAUUAUAUCUUCAUGAGAGGAGGUCUGUGAAAAUGAACAAAGUUUCCCCACUAGUGUUACAUGAAUAAUCACUACAAAAUAAUAGUGGAAACCUACACCUUUUCCUCCUACGAAAGGAGGGAAAGAUUAAUAAGAAACAUUGCCCUCCAACAACAAAAAUCAAAGUUUUAGAACCAGACUUCUUUGUGUCCUGUUUUCCAGUAGUUCUGCUACAUUUCCCACAGUACACUGCUGGGAUUUUUUAUUUUUUAUUUUCGCUACGCAUGCUCACACAUCUGUUGCACAUGUGUGAUCAACCGACUAGAUUUUGGAGCCAAAUGUCCUGUUAAAUGGACAGAGUGGGCAGAGCAUUCCUUUGAGAGUUAGAUUCUGCCUCUGGUGGAUUGCCUCCAAAUGCAAUGGUGUAAUAAAGAAAAGAAAUCUGCUCAUUUGAAUUGCAUUGAAAUGAACUGUGUCCUCUCCUAAAAUACCAUAUGGUAAUGAUCCCUGGAGGUAUGGCACAUAACACCUAGGUCUGGCAGACUCCAUUGGAAGGCUGUAAACGUCCCUGUACAGCCAGACGGUGAAAGGCAAGAUAGUUGACAAGAAGCAUGUGGGGUGAAAAAAGAAUCCUAUCUGAUAUUCCUCAAUCAGUUCGAAAUGAAAGAAAAGAGAUUGAACAAAGAAAUCCUAGCAAGUUGUCUUGGAGAAAUCCUCCUUCUCCCAUUAAAAAGCAGUUCUUGGAUCUCACCUCCAGUAAAGUGAAACCGUAUGGAAAGAAAGCUGUUUCACCUGAGCAGUAGCCAGAGUUUCUUUGCAGCAAAUUAUCUCAAUAAGGCUCAAGUGUAUGUCUGCAAAGCAAAAUGCAGUCUUCACAAUCAAACCUCCAGCAGAGCUGAGAGCAGAUGGACCACGUAACUGGAGACACUCAGGGUCGUGCCUCUGCUUUGGCUCCGUCUCUCAGUGAACCUGAUCCUACCUCAGGUAGCAGCUAGUGACCUGCACGCCACUCUGUGAAGCCUCUCAAGGGACACACACAUAGAUGCACACACACCACACACCAGUCCUUUUUAGUGGGGAGAAAUUCAGGAAACUCUAGUGGUGAGGUACUGAUAUGCUAUAUGCCAAACAAUAGAAAACAAUAGCAUAUUUUAUCCUCUGCAGCAGUUAAGGUACGGCUAUAGAAAUUCGAGUACAGUAUUUAACUACAAUAAAACCCCAACAGCCAUUGGUAGUUGUAAAAUUUUUCCCAUAUCAUCAGUUCAAUUCUGGUCAUUCAUCUUUCUUGAAAACAAAAUUUCCAUCAAAUAUAUUUCUAGAAAUAAUACAGGAAGUUACCUCAAGCCAGCAAGUUAUUCCUACCUGAAUCUUUCGCUUUUCUAAUAAUUUCAUCAUAAUGGUGUAUGUCUGCUAAUGGGUAAAAGAAUUCCUAAAACUUUCAUUUCUUUUCAAUUUUCACUUUUCUUUUCCUAGAGGCUUUGACAUCUAAAGAAAAGUCCAUCCAUAUACCCAAAUUUAAACAAUGGAUUCAUAUACUUAUUCUUAACUUUCCUGAACAUUUAAGUUUUAUUUUUCAUGUAAAAUAUGACUUAGUGUUUUGUUUUCCACAAUUCCACUGUAAUAAUUUUGAGAAAGCUCACUGGUGAUUAGUUAUAAAACAUAGACAUUGUGUAAUGAGAUAGCAGCUCACACAUAUGGGGUGGUUUUAUUUCCUACUACUAAAUAAGUUAGCAGCAGGAAAUUAGUUAAUAGUCACUCAUUUAAUCUUGAAGAUAAUCUAGUAAACUAGGUAUUAUAUUCUUCCUAUAUUUUACAGGUGAGGAAACUGAAAUUUAUCAGGAUUUCAUAACCUCUAAGGUCAAAAGUAGGCAAUUUACCAAGAUGUAGCCCCAUCUUGUGUUUCUACAGCAGUGUUCUUAAAUGGCCAUUUCACUAUAAUGUUAGAAGGGCUUUUGGUUUGGUUUGGUUUUUGAAAUCCAGACUGUGGAACUGUAAUCUCAAACAUGUCUUCUCUCCAUUCUAAGACCAUCAAAGGGAAAAUUUAUUUAACUCAAUAAUCUCAUAGUAUUUUUUUUUAAGAAACCAUCAUGUAACCAAAUAUUUUUCUUCUCCAAAUCUGAAUUUUUCCCAUGACUAAAGUAUUAAUCCACUGUCUCUAAAUUCUGCCUCUGAUAAACAUUAUCUAAAAAGUUUUAACUUUUUUCCUUAAUCUUUUCUUUCAUAAGAAAAAACAAUGUUCUUUAAUUGUACCACAGAAGUCAUUUUCCCCUACUUUCUAAACCAAAAUACUUUGCCGAAAGUAGAGACCUCUGAGUAAAAAUACACAGAUUUGAUUUUUAAACUAUUUUGAAAAAAACUAAGUGUUUAAUUGAAGUCUUCCUAUCUAUAAGGUCUUUUCCUUUCCUUGAUUCAUUUUUACUUGAGGACAAACAUGAAUAUUGGCAUCACAAACAAUGGCUCUCGGAAAUCAUGUAGCAGACAGCUGACAUUUCCAACGAUAUCCGUAUUUCAGAAUAAUCCUCAUAAUAUCAACACAGAUGUUUCUUUUUUUCAUUAACUGUAAUAUCUUCAAAUUUGAUACUGAAACACCAAAUAAAUGUCAGACCUUCUUUGUUGUUGAUAAAGACAUUGGAUUCUGAAGCAGUACUCACAUUCAUAUCUUACAACCCUGUUUAUUGUUUCAACAGAGGAGUUCUGAGCACAAAGUGUGUGGGAAGAAUAUUUAUCUUAUUUUUACAGAUCAGAAAGCUGAUGCAUAGAGAUUAAGUUAUAUUUAUAAGGUCAAUGAAAAUAUCAACAUAACUGUGAUGAGCCAAAUAUGCAUUCCACAAAAGUCUAAAAAUAAAGUGGAUUUUCAAGUGAUAUGCAACUAGCAUUUUCAGACACUCUGUAAAAUUAAAGAAUUCAUAUACUCAUGCCUUUCAUUUCAGCUUUAAUUUAGUUUCUCAACAUUAUGUUUCACAGGAAAUUCCCAGCACAGUUUUACAUUUGACCUAAAAGCAUAAAGUCCAAAGGAGUUUGGACACAUCCACAUAUAUGUGGGGUUUUAUUUACAGAAUGUAUUUCUAUAAAAGUCUCAGUAUCAUUUGUGUUAAGUAAUGUAAAAGUACUACAUUGGGUUUUAAAUGGGGAAAGACCGAAGAAAUACAAAUUCUCACACUUUUCAUCUCAGUUCUAACAGCAACUCUCUGGCCAUUUGAAUAAUGCUACUAAUUGUCCUGUAUGUAAAUUUGGGUGUAGCUGUAUUUCAUCUUGGAUGUUUGAUGUCUUUCUUAUAAUCAUUUAGAUUCAUAAUGAUUCCCAUAGGGAAUUGAUUUGUUCUUGUGAGGACUCAUCAAUAAUCUCUCUCUUGCUGCAUUUAAUUAAAAUCACUAAGCUAUGUUUUAGUAAAGACAAAUGGCAGUCUCUACCUAUUAGCAUCUCCAAGAAUUUAAGUAAACUCCUGAUCAGACGUGAAAUCUGAUAUGACUCUUAAAAAUACUUUCUGAAAUUUCACAUCUGAAUUAAGAAAUUAAUGAAAGAGAGGGAGAGGAGGAGUGAAAGGGAAAGAGAGGGAGGGGAGAAGGGGAGAUAGAAAGAGAGAGAGAGAAGCAAAUAAACCCAAAAUAAGGAUUUUGCAGACUAGCCUCAGACGGCUGCCUCAGAUACGUUUUAGUCCAACUGCUAUUUCUCCAGUUAGCGUACAAUGUGCUGUGUGUGAAAACACUCAUAUAUAAACAGGAAUUUGAGCUCUGCAACACUUCUGCUUACUUUCUCUUCUUCUCCUCUCCCCUCCCUUCCCUAUGUCCUUUUACUUCCUAAUCUCCCAAAUCAAAUGCUAAAUCAGGAGCAAUAGCCUACAAUUAGCCUUUUCAAUUAAAAUGUAGAGUUCAAAGUUGACUCCAAAGUGAGUAAUUGCUUUUGAAAACCACAACCGGCAGGCAGCUGCCAGAUUAUUACAACAGUUUAUUUAACCUCAAAACAUCUGAUCAAUUUUAUUAUCUCAGCAGAAGAGAGAUAUCCUGGAGAGUAGGGUUUAAAAUAUACUACUCAUCUUAGAUGUCUGAGAGAAGAUAAAAAUUCCUCAGUGCUAUAAAUAUCCCUUUGCCAUCACCUUGCUGAGAAAACAAACUCCUAUCACACUUGCUUCAUUUGAAAGUUAACAGAAACUAAGAAACUAAAGGCAAAAGCAUCAUCAUGAUAUGAGCUAGGGCAGAAAUGUGGGGAAGGGAGCCAGGAACAGACAAUUUACAAAAUUACAAGGUUUAAAAACAUUCAAACAUCCGGCUCAUGAUGUUUGGGAUUUUUAAUCAUCCAGAAAGGAGACUCAGAGAAGGCUGCCAACCUCACCAAAACAAAGACUAUCACGUUUCCAGAGUCCUGAUUUGGCUGCCUCCACACUGCUGCUCUUAUUUAUUUAUUUUUUUAUUUUUUAUUUUUUUAAAUCUGCUCUGUGGCUCAAGGGAUAAAAAGGAUGGAAAUCUUCAUGUUAUACAAAUGGCCUGGGGAGCCUUCAGAGCUCCUGGCUCCACCCAGCAAGGCCAGGGCACAGAACACACAGAACCCUCCAGCCUCCACUUCUGGGGAUCCCUCCCACCCCCUCUUCCUGACCUUCCUGUUCCCCAUCUUGCCAGGCUGUCCCUACACCCUUGGAUUUCAUCUUGCCACUGCUUCUGCAAGCUUCCUGAAACCUACCACACUGAACAGGCUGUGCCCAUCAUUUUACCUUCUCUUCCAGAUUCGUUGUGAAGAUUCAGUGGCUAUUAUAUGUACAGUGCUUAGAGACAACUCCCCACCCCUCGCCCCCUGUGGUGCACAGGAAGUGCUAUAUAAGUGUUAGCCUUUUGUUUUUAUAAUUCACUCAGGAUGUAGUCUUUACUUCUCUUUGGCUCUGGACUUGGCCUCUGGGACAGUUCUACCUGCUCCCAGGCCCACCUUCCAGCACUUAGAACAUCUCUUCAGAGGCAGAGUUCAAACACCUAGUUUAUACCGAGGCUGUUUUGGUGUCCUUACUUAAGGGUCAUGUUAUAAGAAGGCUUUGGUACAAUCAUAUAUCUCUCACUGAAUUUCCAGCAAUUUAACCACCUUAAAAAAUGACUCCGAAUUAUAGUUACUUCCAAAAUAUACCACCAUUCCCAGCCACAGGGAUCCUAAUUCCCAUUCGAGGAAUAUUACUAUUGCACCUUUUCUGCCCAUUCUAGCAACUGUCCACUUGAAAGAAAAACAACAUUCAAAGAACAAGUCAAUUUAGGAAAUGUUCAUGGGAAAGAAACCACUCAUUUCUACAAAACGAGCCUUCAGUAUCCGAAAAAUCAUGAAUCUAAAUACUUAUUGUGUUUUAUAGUCUGAUGAUUGUUUUUUAUAUCUAUUUCCCAAUCCCAUUUCACUUUUCCUUCUAGAACCAUGCAAUAUUAUUUGAUAGCCUUACAUUCCUAGGAAUUCUUGUAUAAGAAUGUUUUGUGUAUAUUUUAAUGUAAAGUGCAUUGAUUUAUAACCUAAUAAUUCAUAAAGGUUAUUGAUUUAUAAAAAUGUGACUCAUUCUAUUUAUUAGUUUUAAUCAUUCAAUCCAGUGUUUUCAUAAAAUAUUCAUGUGAUUUUUUUGUACAUCUAGUUUGUUACUAGUCAUUACUGCAGAGAACCAAAGUGCGUACCCAUAAUAUUUUUACCUAACCACUAAAUGCAUGCCAUUAAUUAACAACAAAAAUAUUAACAUUCAAUCUCAUAUUUGAUCAAACUGAUUUAAAGUCACAGUGAUUCUGCUAACUCACUGAAGGAAUUUUUUCUCCCUCCAAUCUUAAGAGUUUUCCACCUGAAUUAUCUGAACAAAUGAUCUCUCUUUCGCUUUCUGGUAAAGAUACAUUCAGAGAAAUUAGUAUUUUUUGUUUGUUUGUUUUGAAAUCUGAUUGUCAGCAAUCAACACAUGAGACACAGAGCAAUAUCAAACAAAAUAUCUUAAAAGCCUUGUGGAAAUAGGCCAUAAGUAAAAAGUAAAUAAUUAGCCAGCCAUGUUUUCAUCAUCUAUACAACGUUUUAACCACAAAAAUGUAGGAAAUGCACAAGAUCCCAAAGAUGUUAUUCAAAUUCCUGCACUGCAGCACUAUUUGAUAUAAUAUAAAACCAGAAACAACUUAAAUGCCUAUCACUAAGGAAACUAGAGUCUAAAUAAAAUAUGAGAUUUUAAGCAACUAUAAAAAACGAAGUAAUUCUAUAAGUACUGACACAGGAACAUCUUAAAAAUCCAUUGUCAGUGAAAAAAGCAGCCCACAGAAGAGUAUUUCAUGAAUCCAUUUUGUUUAAAAAAAGCAAAAAAAAAUUACACAUAUAUAAUAAUGAGUAUAUAAAAGACUGCAUGUGCUAUCAAAUAUGUGUGAAGGUUCAAAUUGCAUGGAGGGACAGCAAAAUCUCUUGAAGGAAAAAAAUUUUCCUUUGAAUUUUUGUCCUUCAGUAUCAGUAUUUACCUAUUUUGGGUGGUUUGCACAUAUGUAUUAAUUUUAUACUAAGCUUUUCUAAAUAUAAAUAAAAUAAAAACAUAAAAAAUAAGCCUUGCUUUUGAGGGAGACUGGAGCUUGGUUUUAUUCACAAAUGGAGGAACGGAGGAGCUGAUCCAGUGACAGCACCAUUCAGGCAAGCUGAAGCAGAUGGAAGAAACCAAAGAGCGGAUCAGGAAGCCACCCCACCCCAAAUCACUUAUUCGAAGGCAAUGCAAAAUCAAAAUACCUUAGCCAUUUCCACAUUGACACAUCGCUUGCAAAGACGCCGGUUUUUUUCCUUUUUCUUUUUUAAUUGCAACGGAGAAAAAAAAAUUCUCAAUUUAAAUAGAAGUAAAAAUUUUCAGUGAACUAGAGAAGUUAGGGAAAAUUUAUUUUGUAGCCAGAGAUGCUAACAGUAAGGACCAUCUUGAGCUUGGAGAAAAUACACUCUGAGAAGCCCAGGAUAAAACGGAGAACCAGCCAAAGAAACAACAAAAUAUCCUUCUGUUGGUUAAGCCAGAAAAAAAUGCCAAUAAAUUGAAAAGCUGGAUUUACUCAUUUGCCCAUAUAUUGAGCAGCUACUAUAUAUGUGUUAUAUUUAACGAUGUGAAUGCCAAGAUGAUGAGUGAAAUUAGUCUGAUUCUAACUAAUGAGAGUUUGUUAAAGUUCCAGAAAUUAGCAUCAUGAACACAAUGUGAGAAAGUCUUCAGUAUUUUCAGGCUGAUACUUUACAACCUAGUAAGAAUUCUAAUCAAGCGAAAGAAAACCACGACGAACAUGACGUGCAACUAAAGAGAGGAGUCUUUUUUAUCCAGAGAGUUCAUUCUUCGACUGCCGUGAACAAGAACCCCAGAUUCUGGUACCAUCUUUCUGGCAUCAUCUUUUUGGAGGCUCGUCUGGGAUCUGAUCCAAUAUAUCUGCGCUCACAAGGUUUAACAGAAGUCAAAUGAAACACUGAGACAUCAGUUACUAGAUAGAAACUAAAGAAUGUGUGUGAUUCUCUGCUACAUCUCCAGCAGCAGAUUCAUGAGAUGUUGUAUCCAGCUCCAGCUUUUGGAACUGCCCUCUGGGACUGGUUGACCUCCUCUUCCUGGUGAAAAUAUUUCCUUACCAUAGCCAUCAUUGUGAUCGUGAUCCUUUUAUUUGGACCCUGCAUAGUUAAUUGUAUUUCUUGUUUCAUUACAUCCCAAUUGGAAGCUAUCAACCUUCAAAUGGUGAUGGAACGGGUACCCAAUGUAAUGUAUCAUAGCCCACUUGACUGUCCCUGGAGUGGAGGCCUAACUGCUUUUUCCCAGCAGGAAGCAGUCAGAGCGGUCAUCGCCCCUUCUCCCCUGCAGUUAGUCUCCAAGUCUAGAGGGGGGAUUGAGACAGAAUAUUAAUUCAGGUAGUCAGUGUAGGAGCAUGGGCUUAUGCAUUCUUCGAUAUGGCCAUUGAUUAACAUUCGUGGCUUAAGGGCUCCAGGGAGUAACAUCCCCACAGGCCUUGUUUAUAAUAGGGAGU